AACGCACGAGACCUGCGGACCUGCGGAAGGAUCAUUCACAAUAAGUGUUUUAUGGCACUUUAAUUCCAUAUCCACCUUGUGUGCAACGUAGUUCGUUUUUCGAACAAAACAUCAACAUUUUAAUUAUCAACAGAUCGUCUGAAGUAUUAUAUGAAUAAAUCAAUUCAAAAUACAACUUUUAACAAUGGAUCUCU
rnacentral:misc_RNA from 1 species